CCAGCCCCAGGGCAACUGAGCAUUGAUUUGAUCAAUGGCUUUUUCCUCUUCCCUUGAAUUCCCCUAUGAUGGCCUUUUAAUUGGGUCCAUUUGUUCCAAGGCCGUGGGCUGAGCUGAGCAGACGCCAAAUGAUAUGCCUAUUAUUAAAUAGAUUAGGAAAUGGCCCUACAUCUUGGGCGGCCAGAAAAACCAGAGUGACUGAACAGUGUCCCUGAGGAGUAACACGUGUAUUGUGGAAUACUGGAUGUAUUGCAGAAUCCCUUCCAGGCACCUUGCCUUUCCUAUGCUGUCCCUGCGUCUACAGAAUCCUUCUGACUUCCUUGCUCACCUGAAAUGUGUCUCCUCCUCCAAGAUUCACUUCAAAUCCCCUCCUCGGUGAAGGAGCUGAAGGAGCGCGCUAAUCGCCACCCCUCCCUCAGCCUGCCUGAGCUACUGCCACAG
rnacentral:lncRNA from 1 species